rnacentral:lncRNA from 1 species
ACCAGAACGCUGCCAAAGAGAUGGCAGAGUGCUUGAUACUCAUAGAGGGAAUUUAAAUAAUGGUAUCUUACUACAAGGUGGUUUACCCUUCCCUGUGUUGAGCUCUAUGGAAGAUGUUAUUGUUAAGAUGAUCAACAGAAGCAUUCACAACCGAUAAAUCCUCCCCAAGAAGCCCAGUCCAUAUGUAAGAGCACAUGUUGAGCUCAAGACUUCAUAUGUAGAGGCUUGACAGUUAAGGAUAACUG